rnacentral:rRNA from 1 species
AUUGAACGCUGGCGGCAGGCCUAACACAUGCAAGUCGAGCGGUAGCACAGAGAGCUUGCUCUCGGGUGACGAGCGGCGGACGGGUGAGUAAUGUCUGGGAAACUGCCUGAUGGAGGGGGAUAACUACUGGAAACGGUAGCUAAUACCGCAUAACGUCGCAAGACCAAAGUGGGGGACCUUCGGGCCUCAUGCCAUCAGAUGUGCCCUGAUGGGAUUAGCUAGUAGGUGGGGUAACGGCUCACCUAGGCGACGAUCCCUAGCUGGUCUGAGAGGAUGACCAGGCACACUGGAACUGAGACACGGUCAAGACUCCUACGGGAAGCAGCAGUGGGGAAUAGUGCAGAAUGGGCGCAAGCCUGAUGCAGCCAGGCCGCGUGUGUGAAGAAGGCCUUCGGGUUGUAAAGCACUUUCAGCGGGGAGGAAGGCGGUGAGGUUAAUAACCUCAUCGAUUGACGUUACCCGCAGAAGAAGCACCGGCUAACUCCGUGCCAGCCGCCGCGUAA